rnacentral:rRNA from 1 species
CUCACAAGAGGUAUCGGGAAAGUUUUUCGCUAUAGGAUGAGGCUGCGGCCUAUCAGCUAGUUGGGGAGGUAACGGCUCACCAAGGCUAUGACGGGUAGCUGGUCUGAGAGGAUGAUCAGCCACACUGGAACUGAGACACGGUCCAGACUCCUACGGGAGGCAGCAGUGGGGAAUUUUACACAAUGGGCGAAAGCCUGAUGUAGCAACGCCGCGUGGAGGAUGACGGAUUUAGGUCUGUAAACUCCUUUUAUAGGGGAAGAAAUUUGACGGUACCCUAUGAAUAAGCGCCGGCUAACUCCGUGCCAGCAGCCGCGGUAAUACGGGGGGCACAAGCGUUACUCGGAAUCACUGGGCGUAAAGGGAGCGUAGGCGUUCUAUUAAGUCUCGAGUGAAAUCCCGCAGCCUAACUGCGGAACUGCUCGGGAAACUGAUAGAAUAGAGUAUGGAAGAGGUAGGUGGAAUUUCCAGUGUAGGGGUAAAAUCCGUAGAUAUUGGAAGGAAUACCAGAAGCGA